UUUUUUUCUCACGGGUCGUCCCUAAAUACAUAAAAUGAUUAUUUUGUCCAUAAUAAUAUUUUUUUUAAUUUUGCUAUUACUUAUUUAUCAAUUUUUAGAUUUAAAAAAAGAAAAAAAUUAGUAUGCCACCCCUCCCUUUUCCCCCUUUCCCCAGUUGCCUACUUUGUCUCCUUCAUAUACACUCAUUGCGAACAACCACCGAAAAGCACUCAUCCUUCUUUCUUCGACGAGACCAACCUUCAUUUUUCUAUUUUUUCUGAUCGCUAUCCACCUAGACCUUGCCGACGAGUUGCAGAUCUAACAAAGCACCACCAUCGCAUAUCGCAUAUCUGCUCAGUCACCUUCUCCUUUCUUCUACAACCCUAUCAAUGACCACACAUCUCUUCCCGAUCGAAAUCGAUGUAAAACCCAACAAGUGGCGGUGACAGCUCCAUCUUCAGCAACCCACACAACCUCGAACCCUAGCUGGCAUGUAAAUCUAGAUUUUCAGGGAUAGUUAACCCACAUUUGGUUUAACCAAUCUCUGACACUUGUUUUAACCCAAAUUUAUAGCUCGGUUUUCAAAUAUGGUUAUGGAGAACAAAGGAAACACCAUAGCUCUCCAUCAUCAAUGUUUAUCCGUUUGGGAAUAAGAACAAGUGAAAUAUAUGGUUCGUUGGUGGCUUAAGGACCGUUGGGAAGAAAAACGAAGAAAUAAAGGUUGUUGACUGUGUUUCUAAGAGAAAAAUGUGGUGGUCGACGGUGGUGGGCUGUAAUCCAACGGUGGUGUUUGUCUGUCAAGAAUUUAGGGGAAAUAGAGUUUAGAAGGGAAGGGGUAGGGAUAAGGUGGGUGAGGUUUUUUUAUUUUCUUUUGUAUAUAAUAAAUAACUUUAAGAAAAAAAAUCAAAAUCAAAAUCAAAAUGGUAGAAUAA